rnacentral:rRNA from 1 species
GAAGCCUGUUUUAAGAUGAGGUUUCAUUUGAGGUCCCCCAAAGACGAUGGGGUUGAUAGGCCAGACCUGGACGCACCGCAAGGUGUGAAGGCUACUGGUACUAAUAGACCAAAACAAACACACACA